AGUGAACGCUGGCGGCAGGCCUAACACAUGCAAGUCGAACGGACGCACAGUAAGAGCUCGCCCUUACGGGUGGCGAGUGGCGGACGGGUGAGGCAUACAUCGGAAUCUACUUUUUCGUGGGGGAUAACGUAGGGAAACUUACGCUAAUACCGCAUACGACCUACGGGUGAAAGCAGGGGAUCUUCGGACCUUGCCCGAUACAAUGAGCCGAUGUCGGAUUAGCUAGUUGGCGGGGUAAAGGCCCACCAAGGCGACGAUCCGUAGCUGGUCUGAGAGGAUGAUCAGCCACACUGGAACUGAGACACGGUCCAGACUCCUACGGGAGGCAGCAGUGGGGAAUAUUGGACAAUGGGCGCAAGCCUGAUCCAGCCAUACCGCGUGGGUGAAGAAGGCCUUCGGGUUGUAAAGCCCUUUUGUUGGGAAAGAAAAGCAGCAGGUUAAUACCCCGCUGUUCUGACGGUACCCAAAGAAUAAGCACCGGCUAACUUCGUG
rnacentral:rRNA from 1 species